UAUUAAAAAAUUCAUCCAUCUACUAUUAUAAAUUGACGUGACUGACGAAGUAACCUGACAGUUACAUGUGGCGUGCCAUGUGUACCUCAUACUGACGUAUAGAGACUAGUUUUUAACAAUAGAAAUUGAUGAAUUUUUUAAUA
rfam:Gossypium raimondii Chr13_contig_1355, whole genome shotgun sequence.